ACUCCAACGGGAGGCAGCAGUGGGGAAUUUUGCGCAAUGGGGGAAACCCUGACGCAGCAACGCCGCGUGAGUGAUGAAGGCUUUCGGGUCGUAAAGCUCUGUCAAUGGGGAAGAAGUGUAUUGUGGCUAAUAUCCACGAUACUUGACGGUACCCAUAAAGGAAGCACCGGCUAACUCCGUGCCAGCAGCCGCGGUAAUACGGGGGGUGCAAGCGUUGUUCGGAAUUAUUGGGCGUAAAGCGCGUGUAGGCGGUUUGUUAAGUCUGUUGUGAAAGCCCUGGGCUCAACCCAGGAAGUGCACUGGAUACUGGCAGACUUGAAUACGGGAGAGGGUAGUGGAAUUCCUGGUGUAGGAGUGAAAUCCGUAGAUAUCAGGAGGAACACCGGUGGCGAAGGCGGCUACCUGGACCGAUAUUGACGCUGAGACGCGAAAGCGUGGGGAGCAAACAGGAUUAGAUACCCUGGUAGUCCACGCCGUAAACGAUGAGAACUAGGUGUUGCGGGUA
rnacentral:rRNA from 1 species